GAUCCUGGCUCAGGAUGAACGCUAGCUACAGGCUUAACACAUGCAAGUCGAGGGGCAGCAUGGUCUUAGCUUGCUAAGACUGAUGGCGACCGGCGCACGGGUGAGUAACACGUAUCCAACCUGCCGUCUACUCUUGGACAGCCUUCUGAAGGAAGAUUAAUACAAGAUGGCAUCAUGAGUCCGCAUGUUCACAAUGAUUAAAGGUAAUUCCCGGUUGGGACGGAUGGGGG
rnacentral:rRNA from 1 species